UCCUAGGUGGCUCAACGGUUAGGUCGCUGGACUGGUGAUUCAGAGGUUGCGGGUUCGAGUCCCGCUCGAGGAG